rnacentral:lncRNA from 1 species
GUUUGUUUAACCCGGACAGGGUUGAUACACGUAUAAAUGGUUCGUGUAUAAUGUUUAGAUACUUAUAUCUCCCGUUCGUAUCCCUAUGAAAUUCAAAAUCCAGUUUUCGUUAUUGAUUUUCGUGACCCAAAUUAUGUUUUGUCUCUACUGUUACCACUUUGUCCUCCCUGUUACUGCCUUUGUUCGUUCCUGUUACCCCAAAAAAUGUGUAAAAUAAUUUUUACCAUCAACAUAACUGAUCUAUUGACUAAGUUUCCAGUUAGUAUAAUUGAAAAGGGACAUAAUAGUAAAUUUUCAAUGCCACUGUCUCCACAAUAUUUUUUUAAGAGUGUUUGAAAAAUAAGAAAUGUGAUGAUUUUCCUGAACGUACCGACUAUCUGCAGAUUUUUUUGGGUAAUCUACAUAAAUAAUAAAUGUAAAUGUGAUUUCAAAUGAACACUGCUAUGCAAAGGUGAGCCAC